rnacentral:tRNA from 1 species
AGGAGUGUGGCUCAAGUGUUAGAUCGCCUGCCUAGCAAGCAUGAGGUCCUGAGUUCAAUCCUCAGUACUACCA